rnacentral:rRNA from 1 species
AGCAGCCGCGGUAAUUCCAGCUCCAAUAGCGUAUAUUAAAGUUGUUGCAGUUAAAAAGCUCGUAGUUGAAUUUCGGGGUUAGUAGGCUGGUCGUGCCACAGGUAUGCACUGGUCUUACUGAUUCCUCCUUCCUGAUGAACCGUAAUGCCAUUAAUUUGGUGUUGCGGGGAGUCUGGACUGUUACUUUGAAAAAUUGAGUGUUUAAAGCAGGCUAACGCUUGAAUACAUUAGCAUGGAAUAACGAAAUAGGACGUUCGAUCCUAUUUUGUUGGUUUCUAGGAUUGACGUAAUGAUUAAUAGGGAUAGUUGGGGGCAUUAGUAUUCAAUUGUCAGAGGUGAAAUUCUUGGAUUUAUUGAAGACUAACUAC